UACGUAGGGUGCGAGCGUUAAUCGGAAUUACUGGGCGUAAAGCGUGCGCAGGCGGUUUGCUAAGACCGAUGUGAAAUCCCCGGGCUUAACCUGGGAACUGCAUUUGUGACUGCAUCGCUGGAGUGCAGCAGAGGGGGAUGGAAUUCCGCGUGUAGCAGUGAAAUGCGUAGAUAUGCGGAGGAACACCGAUGGCGAAGGCAAUCCCCUGGGCCUGCACUGACGCUCAUGCACGAAAGCGUGGGGAGCAAACAGG
rnacentral:rRNA from 1 species